CUAGAGGGAAGUUCUCCACACUCUGCUUGAAAACACUGAAAUGUCCUCAUUUAGAGAUACAUUGAUUCAAUGCAUCUUUAACAAGAGAUGCUGAUUGGACAGGGCUAUGUUUGGCUUGUGCUGGCUCUGCCCCUAUUCUGCCUCCUUGGCAGUCUCAGCCAAUACAAUACUGUCCCUAUAGGAAAGUAUUGUGAAUGUCUGAUCCACACAAUUAUUUCAGGCAAGUAGGCAGAUCAGUGAGAAAGGCAACAGCAGCAGACUAGAUAAAGGUAGGAAGGAGUUAGAAUCCGGGAUAGGCAACCUUCGGCACUCCAGCUGUGGACUACACCCCCCAUAAUGCUGGCAAAG